CAUUUAGCCUCCGGUAGUCGACACAAAAACGUGUCGUGCCAUCUUUCUUAGGUACCAGCACUACCGGCGAUGCCCAGGGGCUAUCGGAAUGUUCAAUAACCCCUAGCUGCAACAUUUCCUCAAUCUCUUUCCUCAUAUGUUCCCUGAUUGCUUCAGGGAUACGAUUUGGGUUCUGCCGCAUAGGUAGCUGUCCAGGGGUCUCGACUCUGUUAGUGGCUAGCGGAGUGUACCCAGGCAAAUUGGAGAAGGUGGCUCCUUUAGCCGUGAUCAACUCUUGUACCUGGGCCCGCCCCAGUUGAACCCCCGUGGAGGGCUCUGUCUGGUCGUCCUGUUCUAAUAGGUCAGGUAGUGGCAGGUUCUCCUGAUCAUCAGAGGCGGAGGCGCAUAUUGCUGCCACGUCCUCUAUCCUCUCAUGAUAGGGUUUGAGCAUAUUCACGUGGAGCAAUUUAUCUCUUCCCUACCCCUGAGCAGGGGCCAAUCACAUAGGUGGUGUCACAUCUCUGUUCCACCACCUGGUAUGGGCCUUGCCAGAUGGCCUGCAGCUUGUCUGUGCGGACAGGUUUUAAAAUCAAAACCUUCUGUCCCACUUGAAAGCUGCGGUCUCUGGCUCCCCUAUCGUACCAGCGGCGCAGGCGUUGUUGGGCCGCCUGGAGGUUGGUGCGCACGGCCUGGGUUAGUGCCUCCAGCACGUAAGGUGCAAUGGGGGUCCCAUCUGU